CCUACGGGUGGCAGCAGUGAGGAAUAUUGGUCAAUGGACGCAAGACUGAACCAGCCAUGCCGCGUGAAGGAGGAAGGUACUAUGUAUCGUAAACCGCUUUUGUCCGAGGACAAACGCUGAUACGCGUCCCCGGCUGAGUGUACCUUACGAAAAAGCAUCGGCUAACUCCGUGCCAGCAGCCGCGGUAAUACGGAGGAUUCAAGCGUUAUCCGGAUUUAUUGGGUUUAAAGGGUGCGCAGGCGGUCGGUUAAGUCAGGGGUGAAAUCCUGUAGCUUAACUCCCGCACUGCAUUUGAAACUGGGAGUCUAGAGUGGGAGAGAGGUAUGUGGAAUGCGUGGUGUAGCGGUGAAAUGCAUAGAUAUCGAGCAGAAUUCUGAUUGCGAAGGCGGCCUGCUGGAACCAUACUGACGCUGAUGCACGAAAGCGUGGGGAGCGAACAGGGUUAGAUACCCUAGUAGUC
rnacentral:rRNA from 1 species